CAAUUACACCCACAUCCAGCAAUAACGUAAUAAUAAUUAUCUCGUGAAGACGCUUCGGAAAGAAACCUUAAACCCUCCAAUCAAACCCUCCCUUCGCUCAGGCAGGCGCACGUUUUCUCUUUAUGAUCAGAUAGAUCUCAUCGACAGCGUGCCUGAGGGCAACUUCGCUUCCAACGGUAUUCUGACACAGGAUUUACAGUUAAUGGUGUAGAGUAUGAGGGGAGCUUGCUUAUUGUAGAGAACAAGGUUAUGUCAUGAGCCC